GACGAACGCUGGCGGCGUGCUUAACACAUGCAAGUCGAACGGAAAGGCCCUGCUUUUGUGGGGUGCUCGAGUGGCGAACGGGUGAGUAACACGUGAGUAACCUGCCCUUGACUUUGGGAUAACUUCAGGAAACUGGGGCUAAUACCGGAUAGGAGCUCCUGCUGCAUGGUGGGGGUUGGAAAGUUUCGGCGGUUGGGGAUGGACUCGCGGCUUAUCAGCUUGUUGGUGGGGUAGUGGCUUACCAAGGCUUUGACGGGUAGCCGGCCUGAGAGGGUGACCGGCCACAUUGGGACCGAGAUACGGCCCAGACUCCUAAGGGAGGCAGCAGUGGGGAAUAUUGCACAAUGGGCGGAAGCCUGAUGCAGCAACGCCGCGUGCGGGAUGACGGCCUUCGGGUUGUAAACCGCUUUCGCCUGUGACGAAGCGUGAGUGACGGUAAUGGGUAAAGAAGCACCGGCUAACUACGUG
rnacentral:rRNA from 1 species